AUGGCGGAGGCAGCAGCCCUGGCAGGACUCCAGGAAGAGGCCAAGUGCUCCAUCUGUCUGGAUUACCUGAGCAAUCCCGUUCCCAUUGAAUGUGAACACAACUUCUGUCAUUCCUGCAUCCAACAGUCUUGGCUGGAUCUACAGGAAUUGUUCUCUUGCCCUGUCUGUAGUCACCAAUGCCCAGAGGGAAACUUCAGGAGCAACACCCAGCUGGGAAGGAUGAUUGACAUUGCCAAGCUACUCCAGAGAGCCAGAGGCAAUGACGUCAGGCAGGACAAGAUGCCCCUGUGGGAGAAGCACAACCAGCCCCUGAGUGUUUUCUGCAAGGAGGACCUGGUGGUGUUGUGUCCCCUGUGCACUCAGACCCAUGACCACCAAGGCCACCAUGUGAGCCCCAUAGAGGAGGCUGCCUCCCAUCACAGGGAAAGGCUCCACAGUUACCUUGAGACCCUGAAGUUAGGAAGCUGUGAGCCACCCAGGACAGAAAGUUGUUGGAGCUCAGAGAGAAGACAGAAAGCCAAAGGCAGGAAUUAUCCUCUCAGUUGAAGCACCUAACGAAGUUUGUUGACCAUGAAAAGCAGGCAGCUUUCUGUAGAUUAGCUGAGGAAAAGACGGACAUUCAGAAGAAACUCGGUGCAAACAUAAGGGCAUUUUCAGAACACAUUUCCACCCUGAAAGGUCUGCUUACGCAGGUGGCCGAGAUGAGUGUGAUGGCAGAUGUGAAACUGCUGAUGGAUGUAAGGACCGUCCUGCACAGGUGUAAGGCCUGCAGGCCCCAGCUGUCCACUCUAUGCAGCUCCAGAAGGAAGGAAACAGGCUUCCCCUGCAGUACUCGGCUCUUCAGAAAAUCAUACAGAAGUUUAGAGAAGUUACUCUGGAUCCUGAAAGUGCACAUCCUCAUCUGCGUGUCUCUGAGGAUAAGAAAUGUGUGACAUUUGUGAAGGAAAGUCAGAGAGUUCACUGGAAUCCAAAGAGAUUGUUGUCCCAUCCAGUGGUCCUGGGUUCUGAGGGAUUUGAGUGUGGCCGGCAUUACUGGGAGGUGCAAGUGGAUGACAAGCCAAUGUGGACCGUGGGGGUGUGUAAGGAAUCCCUGCCCAGGAAGGGAAAGUGGCCCCUGUCAGGACAGAGCAUGUGCUGGGCUAUCCAGCUGCAGAAUGGUGAGUGUGUGGCCUGAGGCGCUGUUCCUGUCAUCCUUCCGCUAAAGGAGAAGCCCAGAGGAAUUGGCAUUUAUCUGGACUACAAGUUGGGCGAGAUCUCCUUUUACAAUUUGAAUGACAGGUCUCACAUCCAUUCCUUCACUGAUACAUUUUCAGAAGUACUGAAGCCUUAUUUCUGUAUGGGGCAUGAUUCAAAACCUCUUAGAAUCUGCAUAAUGACAGAUUAUGAUGGCUGA
rnacentral:lncRNA from 1 species